rnacentral:hammerhead_ribozyme from 1 species
AUCCAGCUGAAGAGUACUAAAUAGGACAAAACGCACGUCCUUGAU